rnacentral:ribozyme from 1 species
UCCAAAAAAAAAAAUAGACGCCAUCAAACCCAGAAAUAAACAAUGAUUGGGAAAGAAAGAAACAAGGUGGCACACAAAAUGUGUUUGUCUUGUGUGUUUCCA